rnacentral:tRNA from 1 species
GCGAGGGUAGCCAAGCGGUUAAGGCGAGCGGCUGCAACCCGCUUAUGCGCCGGUUCGAAUCCGGCCCCUCGCU